rnacentral:rRNA from 1 species
GGCAGAGGAUGCAAGCGUUAUCCGGAAUGAUUGGGCGUAAAGCGUCUGUAGGUGGCUUUUUAAGUCUGCCGUCAAAUCCCAGGGCUUAACCCUGGACAGGCGGUGGAAACUACCAAGCUGGAGUACGGUAGGGGCAGAGGGAAUUUCCGGUGGAGCGGUGAAAUGCGCAGAUAUCAGGAGGAACACCGAUGGCGAAGGCAGCUCGCUGGGACGGUACUGACGCUGAGGCGCGAAAGCGUGGGGAGCAAACAGG